UACGGGGGGGGCAAGCGUUGUUCGGAAUUACUGGGCGUAAAGGGCUCGUAGGCGGCCAACUAAGUCAUACGUGAAAUCCCUCGGCUUAACCGGGGAACUGCGUCUGAUACUGGAUGGCUUGAGUUCGGGAGAGGGAUGCGGAAUUCCUGGUGUAGCGGUGAAAUGCGUAGAUAUCAGGAGGAACACCGGUGGCGAAAGCGCUCAUCUGGCCCAAUACUGACGCUGAGGCGCGAAAGCUAGGGGAGCAAACGGG
rnacentral:rRNA from 1 species